rnacentral:rRNA from 1 species
CCUACGGGAGGCAGCAGUGAGGAAUAUUGGUCAAUGGACGCUAGCCUGAACCAGCCAAGUAGCGUGAAGGAUGACUGCCCUAUGGGUUGUAAACUUCUUUUAUAUGGGAAUAAAGUGCAGUAUGUAUACUGCUUUGCAUGUACCUUAUGAAUAAGGAUCGGCUAACUCCGUGCCAGCAGCCGCGGUAAUACGGAGGAUCCGAGCGUUAUCCGGAUUUAUUGGGUUUAAAGGGAGCGUAGGUGGGUUGUUAAGUCAGUUGUGAAAGUUUGCGGCUCAACCGUAAAAUUGCAGUUGAUACUGGCAGCCUUGAGUACAGUAGAGGUAGGCGGAAUUCGUGGUGUAGCGGUGAAAUGCUUAGAUAUCACGAAGAACUCCGAUUGCGAAGGCAGCCUGCUGGACUGUAACUGACGCUGAUGCUCGAAAGUGUGGGUAUCAAACAGGAUUAGAUACCCCAGUAGUC